rnacentral:rRNA from 1 species
GGAGUACGCCUGUUCGAGUGUUAUGAAGCUCUCAAAACGCAAUUGGCUUAAAACCUGAUUGUUGUUUUGGAUUUGAACUUUGCCGUGUUAUAACGGCUGGUUUUAAAAGUAUUAGCUGGUACUAGAACGAAUUGGUUCUACUCAACGUGAUAAUUAUCUGAUCGUCGAGGACAUUCCUUUCACGAGGAAUGGCCAUAGUAAAUUCAAUGGACUGCUUCUAAUCUGGCUUUAAUUCUUUAUUGGAUUAACCACUUUUCAAAUCUGACCUCGAAUCAGGUGGGACUACCCGCUGAACUUAAGCAUAUCAAUAAGCGGAGGAAAAGAAACUAACAAGGAUUCCCCUAGUAACGGCGAGUGAAGCGGGAUGAGCUCAAAUUUAAAAUCUGAUAGUCUUUGGCUGUCCGAGUUGUAAUCUAGAGAAGUGUUUUCCGCGUUGGACCAUGUACAAGUUUCCUGGAACGGAACGUCAUAGAGGGUGAGAAUCCCGUCCUUGACAUGGACUACCAGUGCUUUGUGAUACACUCUCAACGAGUCGAGUUGUUUGGGAUUGCAGCUCAAAAUGGGAGGUAAAUUCCUUCUAAAGCUAAAUAUUGGCGAGAGACCGAUAGCGAACAAGUACCGUGAGGGAAAGAUGAAAAGCACUUUGGAAAGAGAGUUAAACAGUACGUGAAAUUGUUAAAAGGGAAACGAUUGAAGUCAGUCGCGUUUACUUGGACUCAGCCUUACCUCGGUUUGGUGCAUUUCCUUGUGAACGGGCCAGCGUCAAUGUUG